rnacentral:lncRNA from 1 species
GCUAAGGGGUUCAUCUCCACACAUGUUACACUUGCACUCUCAACCAACACACACAAAUCAAUGUAAUUCACAUAGAUAAGUAAAUUGAAUUCAUAACUUAUGAAACGCAAUUAGAAGUAAUCAAUUCAUAUCGCAAGCAUAAACAUGUAUUUCGAAUCCCCCCUAGCCAAGGGGGGGUUUAGUUCCUCAUACUCGCAAAGCAAAGAUACAUAAAUUUAGAAAUUAAAAUCCAAAGAAAAAAAAC